UACGGGAGGCAGCAGUGGGGAAUAUUGCACAAUGGGCGCAAGCCUGAUGCAGCCAUGCCGCGUGUAUGAAGAAGGCCUUCGGGUUGUAAAGUACUUUCAGUCGUGAGGAAGGUGUUAAGGUUAAUAACCUUAGCAAUUGACGUUAGCGACAGAAGAAGCACCGGCUAACUCCGUGCCAGCAGCCGCGGUAAUACGGAGGGUGCGAGCGUUAAUCGGAAUUACUGGGCGUAAAGGGCACGCAGGCGGUUAAUUAAGUUGGAUGUGAAAUCCCCGGGCUUAACCUGGGAAUGGCAUUCAAGACUGGUUAGCUAGAGUCUUGUAGAGGGGGUAGAAUUCCAUGUGUAGCGGUGAAAUGCGUAGAGAUGUGGAGGAAUACCGGUGGCGAAGGCGGCCCCUGGACAAAGACUGACGCUCAUGUGCGAAAGCGUGGGGAGCAAAACAGGAUUAGAUACC
rnacentral:rRNA from 1 species